ensembl:lncRNA
AAUUCAAAUAAAUAUAAGUGGUACUCCCCCUUCCUUACCCUAGGAAUGAACACUGCGUCACUUCCUGCCUGCUGUCCUCCACAAGCAGUGGCGUGUCCUUCCAGGAUCUUGCUUCAGCCGCGUAAGCUCCCACAUCCAUUAAACCAUCAGUGUCUCUGAUUGCUGACUCCCAGCUCUUUCACAGGCCUCAUAGUUCUGAGGGGUGCAGCCCCACCACUGGCUGAGCAGCCAAGAGACUGAAUAAACUCCUGAGAGAGCCAGGGAAUGGAAAGUUGCAGGGGCUGUCCACUAACAGGCAAAUAUAAAGGAGAACUAGUACCAAGGGACAUGCUCUGAACCUGGGGUGGGAGCCAGCACGCCAACAUCAAGGAGGAUUCUUUACCACUGAGCCACCAAGGAAACCCCAUGGUUACGGAUGCACGAACGAAAUUUGAUGACUCCAAAGGAGGACCAAGUAUGCUCCUCAGACACUAGCAAAACAGUAGCACUAGAGAGGAGAGAGAACCUGAAAAUUGGGGCUUCAUUGUGAGAAUUAAAUUAUUCUUAUUUUAUUGUUUUCAUGUAUGUGUGAUGUCAUCAUCUCUGCCGAGUCAAGACCUCUUCAGGUCUCAAUCCACUCUACAACUACACACACUUGCCGAAACAAUGUUUGCACCUCUGAGAAUCUGAAUGAAGAACAUGCUGAAGAAUGAGUGAGAUGUCACUUUAAGCUGCACUGGGUCUGCCUUGCUACACUUGAGCUUUCUCCAGUUGCAGGAGCGGGGGCUACUCUUUGCUGUGGUGCUCAGGCUUCUCAUUUCGGUGGCUUCUCUUGUCAUGGAACAUAGGCUCUAGGUGCCCGGGGCCUCAGUAGCUGCAGCCUCCGAGGCUUGUGGAACCUUCUGGGGCCAGGGAUCAAAUCCAUGUCCCCUGCAUUGGCAGGAGGAUUCUUAUCCACUGUAUCACCAAAGAAGUCCUUUACUGAGUCUUUCCCAGCAUCAGGGUCUUUUCCAGUGAGUCAGCUCUUUGCAUCAGGUGGCCAAAGUAUUGGAGCAUCAGCUUCAGCAUCAGUCCCUCCGAUGAAUAUUCAGGGUUGAUUUCCUUUAGAAUUGACUGGUUUGAUCUCCUUGCUGUCCAAGCGACUCUCAAGAGUCUUCUCCAGCACCACAGUUCAAAAGCAUCAAUUCUUCGGUGUCCCACCUUCGUUAUGGUCCAACUCUUACAUCCAUAUGUGACUAGAGGAAAAACCAUAGCUUUGACUAUAUGAACGUUUGUCAGCAAUGUCUUUAAAUUGUUUACUGCUUGUAUUUUCAAAAUGUUCUUUACAAUCUUUUAUUACC